AGAGUUUGAUCCUGGCUCAGGACGAACGCUGGCGGCGUGCUUUAUACAUGCAAGUCGAACGAUGAAGUUCCUUCGGGAAUGGAUUAGUGGCGAACGGGUGAGGAACACGUGAGAAACCUGCCUUUCAUUCUGGGAUAACACCGGGAAACCGGUGCUAAUACCGGAUACUCCAUUUUGGCGGCAUCGCCGAGCUGGGAAAAAAUUUUGAUGAAAGAUGGUCUCGCGGCCUAUCAGCUAGUUGGUGAGGUAAAGGCUCACCAAGGCGACGACGGGUAGCCGGCCUGAGAGGGCGACCGGCCACACUGGGACUGAGACACGGCCCAGACUCCUACGGGAGGCAGCAGUAGGGAAUAUUGGGCAAUGGGCGAAAGCCUGACCCAGCGACGCCGCGUGAGGGAUGAAGGUCUUCGGAUUGUAAACCUCUUUCGGUAGGGAAGAAGCGAAAGUGACGGUACCUAAAGAAGAAGCACCGGCUAACUAUGUGCCAGCAGCCGCGGUAAUACAUAGGGUGCAAGCGUUGUCCGGAAUUAUUGGGCGUAAAGAGCUCGUAGGUCGUUUGUCGCGUCGAUUGUGAAAAUCUGNNNCUCAACCUCAGACCUGCAGUCGAUACGGGCAAACUAGAGUGUGGUNNNGGAGACUGGAAUUCCUGGUGUAGCGGUGGAAUGCGCAGNUAUCNNNNNNAACACCAAUGGCG
rnacentral:rRNA from 1 species